rnacentral:ncRNA from 1 species
CCAACGGAACAAGUUACCCUAGGGAUAACAGCGCAAUCCUAGAGUCCAUGUCAACAAUAGGGUUUACGACCUCAGUGUUGGAUCAGGACAUCCUAAUGGUGCAGCAGCUAUCAAGUGUUCGUUUGUUCAACGAUUAAAGUCCUACGUGAUCUGAGUUCAGACUGGAGCAAUCCAGGUCGGU